UACGAAGGGGACUAGCGUUGUUCGGAAUUACUGGGCGUAAAGCGCACGUAGGCGGAUUGCUAAGUCUGGGGUGAAAUCUCGGGGCUCAACCUCGGAACUGCCUUUGAUACUGACAAUCUCGAGUCCGAUAGAGGUGGGUGGAAUUCCUAGUGUAGAGGUGAAAUUCGUAGAUAUUAGGAAGAACACCGGUGGCGAAGGCGGCUCACUGGUCCGGUACUGACGCUGAGGUGCGAAAGCGUGGGGAGCAAACAGG
rnacentral:rRNA from 1 species